UGGCUCAGGACGAACGCUGGCGGCGUGCUUAACACAUGCAAGUCGAACGAUGAAGCCCUUCGGGGUGGAUUAGUGGCGAACGGGUGAGUAACACGUGGGCAAUCUGCCCUUCACUCUGGGACAAGCCCUGGAAACGGGGUCUAAUACCGGAUAACACUCCUGCCUGCAUGGGUGGGGGUUAAAAGCUCCGGCGGUGAAGGAUGAGCCCGCGGCCUAUCAGCUUGUUGGUGAGGUAGUGGCUCACCAAGGCGACGACGGGUAGCCGGCCUGAGAGGGCGACCGGCCACACUGGGACUGAGACACGGCCCAGACUCCUACGGGAGGCAGCAGUGGGGAAUAUUGCACAAUGGGCGAAAGCCUGAUGCAGCGACGCCGCGUGAGGGAUGACGGCCUUCGGGUUGUAAACCUCU
rnacentral:rRNA from 1 species